rnacentral:rRNA from 1 species
ACGGGGGGGGCAAGCGUUGUUCGGAAUUACUGGGCGUAAAGGGCUCGUAGGUGGCCAACUAAGUCAGACGUGAAAUCCCCAGGCUUAACCUGGGAACUGCGUCUGAUACUGGAUGGCUUGAAUUCGGGAGAGGGAUGCAGAAUUCCAGGUGUAGCGGUGAAAUGCGUAGAUAUCAGGAGGAAUACCGGUGGUGUAGACGGCUCUCUGGACCGCGACUGACGCUGAGACACGAAAGCGUGGGUAGCAAACAGGA